CUACGGACUUAAUUGGAUUGAGUCUUGGUAUGGAAACUUACCAAGUGAGAACUUUCAAAUUCAGAGAAACCCUGAAAUUCACAAAGGGCAAUCCUGAGCCAAAUCCUGUUUUCCGAAAGCAAAGAAAAGUUCAUAAAGUUAUAAUAAAAAAGGGAUAGGUGCAGAGACUCAAUGGAAGCUGUUCUAACAAAAGGAGUUGACGAUUUUUCCUUUUUGCAUUAGGAAAAGAAUAGAAUCCUCUCCACCACAGUCCUUGCCACUUCUCAUUGGGUGCUCCUCAACAUGUUUGUGCAUGGUAG
rfam:Glycine soja cultivar W05 scaffold775_3, whole genome shotgun sequence.